AUACUGCUGUGGAGUCCCACAAUAGGACGAAACGGCCGUUCAGUGC
rnacentral:hammerhead_ribozyme from 1 species